rnacentral:rRNA from 1 species
GCUCAGAAUGAACGCUGGCGGCGUGCCUAACACAUGCAAGUCGAGCGAGAAAGUUCCCUUCGGGGAGCGAGUACAGCGGCGGACGGGUGAGUAACGCGUGGACGAUCUACCCAAGGAUUCGGGAUAACCUUGCGAAAGCGGGGCUAAUACCGAAUGGUCUGGGCAUUUUGAAAUGUGCCUGGUAAAGGUGGCCUCUGAUUCAAGCUAUCGUCUUUGGAUGGGUCCGCGUCCCAUUAGCUUGUUGGUAGGGUCAUGGCCUACCAAGGCGACGAUGGGUAGCUGGUCUGAGAGGAUGAUCAGCCACACUGGGACUGGAACACGGCCCAGACUCCUACGGGAGGCAGCAGUGGGGAAUAUUGGGCAAUGGGCGCAAGCCUGACCCAGCAACGCCGCGUGAGGGAAGAAGGUCUUCGAAUCGUAAACCUCAGUCAGGAGGGAAGAAAUGGGUUGUCCUGAACAGGGAUGGCCUUUGACGGUACCUCCAGAGGAAGCACCGGCCAACUCCGUGCCAGCAGCCGCGGUAAUACGGAGGGUGCAAGCGUUAUUCGGAAUCACCGGGCGUAAAGCGCACGUAGGCGGCUUUGCAAGUCAGGUGUGAAAGCCCUCGGCUCAACCGAGGAAUUGCACUUGAAACUGUAGAGCUCGAGUUCGGGAGAGGGUGGCGGAAUUCCAGGUGUAGGAGUGACAUCCGUAGAUAUCUGGAGGAACACCAGAGGCGAAGGCGGCCACCUGGACCGAAACUGACGCUGAGGUGCGAAAGCGUGGGGAGCAAACCGGAUUAGAUACCCUGGUAGUCCACGCCGUAAACGAUGGAUGCUAGAUGCUGGGUGUUGUAGACAUUCGGUGUCGGAGUUAACGCGUUAAGCAUCCCGCCUGGGGAGUACGGUCGGCAGGCUGAACUUCAAGAACUUGACGGGGGCCCGCACAAGCGGUGGAGUAUGUGGUUUAAUUCGAUGCAACGCGAAGAGCCUUACCUGGGCUGNACAUCCCGGGAACCUCCUGGAAACAGGGGCGUGCCCUUCGGGGAACCCGGUGACAGGUGCUGCAUGGCUGUCGUCAGCUCGUGCCGUGAGGUGUUGGGUUAAGUCCCGCAACGAGCGCAACCCUUGUCCUUAGUUGCCAUCAGGUAAAGCUGGGCCCUCUAGGGAGACUGCCGAGGUGAACUCGGAGGAAGGUGGGGACGACGUCAAGUCAUCAUGGCCCUUACGCCCAGGGCUACACACGUUCUUCUAUUGGUGGGUACAAAGGGAAGCCAAGCCGCGAGGUGGAGCCAAUCCCGAAAAGCCUACCCCAGUUCAGAUCGCAGUCUGCAACUCGACUGCGUGAAGGCGGAAUCGCUAGUAAUCGCGGAUCAGCAUGCCG